GAGUCACCAGAUCCAGGCUGGAAUCAAAGCUCCCUGGAGCCGAAUCCAUCCUGGAAGCACCAGAUCCGUGCUGGAAUCGCAGCUGGAUCCGGGCAGGAAUCAGAGCUCCCUGGAGCCGAAUCCAGGGGGGACUCAGAGCUCCAUGGGAAUGGAUCCAGGCUGGAAGACCCAGGGUGGAAUCACAGCUGGAUCCAAGGGGAAACGGAGCUCCCUGGAGCCGGAUCCAGGGUGGAGAAUCCAGGGGGGAAUUAGAGCUGGAUCCAGGGGAGAGUCAGAGCUCCGUGGGAAUGGAUCCAGGCUGGAAGAUUCAGGGUGGAAUCAGAGCUGGAUCCAGGCUGGAAUCACAGCUCCCUGGAGCUGGAUCCAGAGUGGAGGAUCCAGGGGGGAAUCACAGCUGGAUCCGGGGGGGAAUCAGAAUUCUCUGGAGCCGGAUCCAGGAUGGAGGAUCCAGAAUGGAGGAUCCAGGUUGGAGGAUCCAGGGUGGAAUCAGAGCUGGAUCCAGGGUGGAAUCAGAGCUGGAUCCAGGGUGGAAUCAGAGCUGGAUCCAGGGUGGAAUCACAGCUCCCCGGAGCCAAACCCAGCCUGGAACCGCCGGAUCCAUCCCCGAAUCCCCGUCUCCAUCCCCAAAUCCCGUCUCUCCCCCCCUCCCCGGGGGGGCUCAGAGCUCCCCGCUGGUCUUGAUGACGUGGAAGAGCGUGACGUUGUAGAUGACCUGGUGGCCGUUGUUCCAGGUGUAGAGGACCCUCUCGCGGGGGUUGUAGUCCAGCAUGGAGAUGUGGGAGUACUGGUUGUGGAAGGGGAUGUCCGUGUACUCGUAGCUGGAGCUGUUGGUGUCGUAGGCGAAGUAGAUCUUGGCGCCGGCCAGGUGGGAGUUGGUGACGUAGAGGGUCCCGCAGAUGAGGAAGGACUCGCCGGCGCUGCGCUUGGGGUACCCGGUGUCCCAGCUGCGCAGCACCUGCAGGCUCUGCGGGUCCACGCGGCUCAGCACGAUGUUCCCGGCGUUCUGGUUCGUGGUGUACACGGCCCACAGGCCGCUCUCGUCCACCAUGAAGUCGAUGUCGGAGAAGCCGCCCCAGGAGUAGGGGAAGGUGUUGUUGUAGCCGGCGCCGGCCAGGCUGCGCUGCACGAGGACGCUGCGGGAGCCGAAGUGGUACUUGACGGCCACGUUGCUCUGGUACUUGUUGUAGAAGAGGGAGCCGUUGAAGACCACGUGGCCCGUGCCCGCCCAGGGGUGGGGAAGGAGGUGCUGCACGAAGUUCUGCCCCGCCACGAAGUCGUCCAGGGAGCGGAACUCCAGGACGCGCCGGCCCUUGUAGUAACCGUCCAUGUACCAGACCUGGGGGAGAGGGAGGGGAGAGGGAGGGGAGGGAG
rnacentral:lncRNA from 1 species